rnacentral:rRNA from 1 species
AGAGUUUGAUCCUGGCUCAGAAUGAACGCUGGCGGCGUGCCUAACACAUGCAAGUCGUACGAGAAAUCCCGAGCUUGCUUGGGAGAGUAAAGUGGCGCACGGGUGAGUAACGCGUGGGUAACCCACCUUCGAAUCUGGGAUAACUCCGCGAAAGCGGUGCUAAUACCGGAUAAGACCACAGCCGUUUCGGCGGCAGAGGUAAAAGCUGACCUCUCCAUGGAAGUUAGCGUUCGAGGACGGGCCCGCGUCCUAUCAGCUUGUUGGUGGGGUAAAGGCCUACCAAGGCAGCGACGGGUAGCUGGUCUGAGAGGAUGAUCAGCCACACUGGAACUGGAACACGGUCCAGACUCCUACGGGAGGCAGCAGUGAGGAAUUUUGCGCAAUGGGGGAAACCCUGACGCAGCAACGCCGCGUGGGUGAAGAAGGCUUUCGGGUCGUAAAGCCCUGUCAGGUGGGAAGAACCGUUUCGAUACUAAUAAUGUCGAAGCCUGACGGUACCACCAGAGGAAGCACCGGCCAACUCCGUGCCAGCAGCCGCGGUAAUACGGAGGGUGCAAGCGUUGUUCGGAAUUAUUGGGCGUAAA